rnacentral:rRNA from 1 species
GUCUGGUCUGCCCACUGAUGAAUUGAAGGGCCGCAGUAAUUUAACUGUGCUAAGGUAGCAUAAUCAAUAGUUUUUUAAUUGGGAACUAGAAUGAAUGAUCGCACAAAAAAAAAUCUGUCUUUUUUAUAAAAAUUGAAUUUUACUUUUAAGUGAAAAGGCUUAAAUGAAUUAGGGGGACGAUAAGACCCUUUAAGCUUUAUAAAAUAAGGGUAGUAUAAUUAUUAGAAGUAAAAAUUGAUUACUUAAAUUUUUGUUUCAUUGGGGCGAUGAAGAUAGAAUAAAAUAACUGUUUUAUAUAUGAAAUAGUUAUAAUUAGGGAGAGUGAGCCUUAUUUAAGGAUUGAAAGAAAAAGUUACUUUAGGGAUAACAGCGUAAAUUUUUUUAAAGAGUUCAUAUCGAUGAAAGUAGUUGCGACCUCGAUGUUGAAUUAAGAUAUAAUUAGGAAGCAGUAUUUUUAUUAGUAAGUCUGUUCGACUUUUAAAAUCUUACGUGAU